rnacentral:lncRNA from 1 species
AGGGCUCUGGGAGACCAGGAGCGGUUCGGAGAGAGGCAGAGACGAGAGCCGAAGCCUGGCCAACUAAAAAGCGCGGAGAAGUUUAUGGGCGGAAGCGCCGACCUAUCCAGCUGUUGGGUGCCGGAAGAGGACGGACCUAAGAUGGCGGCGCCCACAGAUGCCGGGAAGAACCGCUCAUGUCGGGGAACGCAGCGGUGUGGGGGCGGGUGCGGAGCCGCCUCCGCGCCUUCCCCGAACGCCUGUCAGCCUGUGGGGCCGAGGCCAAGAAGACCCAGAAGGGAGGCCAUUAGGAAGGAGGAGGACUGUGCUUGACAUCCAUUUGCUGCCCAAGGGCACAGAGCCAGGCACCUUGUCCUGACGGCCCCAAGGGGCAAACAUCUAACGUUCUUAGGGCUAAAAGGACCUCAAUGUGUAUGCUGAGCCCAAGGCAAAGAGGAAGCGGUUUUCUGUAUUAGAAUAAGAUGCCGUGAACCAACAAUAAAGACGUGAAUCAACAAUAAAGAUGGCAGCAGAUCACGCGGGAUCCCUCUUUUGUGGUACGUAGUGUGCGUGGGCCUGGCCUCUCCCUGCAGAAGCUGACGGGGCGUGGGCCUUGGCAACAGGCUGCCUCCUGAUUCUCACUUUUUAAAGCAUUUUCACCAGUAUGUCAUCUCAAUCCAAUGGAGCAUCUAGAUGUAUCUCAGUUGACAGAAUGUACCAGAGACAACAGCGACACCGUGAGGCAGAGUUCCGCUCUGCGAGGAAUCCCAUACCCAGGCAUGCUCUUCUAGACUAAGGCAGUGAAGACAGGUGUGAGCCAAGAGGGGUUUUGGUUUAGGAAGCCAGUGAGGCUGGCCAAAGCUGCAGGCUCCCCUCCCCGCGUGGGCUGGCUGCUCACCAUUCCACAGCCUCCUUCGGAGUCAGUGCAAGCCCAUCCGGGCCACAGCUCCCAGCCUCCCUAGUGCCACACCCCCCUCCCCGCUUGUCCUGAGAAUAAGGUUAGGGGUGCAGCACCGCCCCUCCCAACACACAUGGGCACAGGCAGGCCCCGCGACAAUGGGCAGCGCCCUCAGUGCCCACUGCCCUGAACACCACCUGCCGGGUGCAUGGGGACUGUGCUCCAAAGAGCAUCCUCCCAGGGACCUGGAGGGCACACUGUCCUUGGGCCCACCCAGCCCCUGGCGUCCAGAGCCCCCUGCCAGGAGCCGAGGUCUGCACUCCCUUUUUCUCAAGUGAACACAACUCCACAAUUAGCCUGACUCCCCCCAUGCGGAGAGCAUCACAUCUCAGACGUGAGCGUCCGCCUCAGUGAAGAGGAGAAGCUGGCCGCUAUCAAGGGCUCUGUCCUGCUGGGCAGAGUCACAUCUCACGGGAACCACUGGAAUUAAGGUCCAGAAACUGGUGACACGACCCCCCUGCCCCUGCUGGGGUGACGGGAGGCCCCCAGAUAGCUCGAGGGCCUACGGGAGGAAGGGGUGAGCCAGGGAAGCGGGCUUCCUAGGAGCCCCCCGAGCACAGCUGUGCAGUCUCCACUGCCCAGCCGCGUAUUGCCACCCGGCCGGCGCACCCAGCCUUCCUGGGCAGACUUCUCUUCCCGACCCUCCUGCCCUCCACUCCGACCCUCGACAGCUUGUCGGCUAGAGCUUCCCGUAUCUUCGCUGGGCACACCCACUCCAGCCCUUCCAGAACUGUCCCCCCAGGUGCUGUCUCCUGCGUCCUUUCAAUCUCCAAUGCACUGGGGCAGAUGGAGUCCCCACGUCUCACAUCUCACACAGGGCCAGCCCGCGCUCCAUGUCAGACUCCCUUCCGACCUCCGCGGCCUUCAUCCCUGCUCCUCUGGCCUCCCCCAACUCACUUCAUCUUCAAGACUACAUUUAUAGAAGGGAGUUCAACAAAGUUGGCGUGGGGUGCAGCAAAGACAACUUCCGCCACCUCUACAGCCGGUCAUCGCGUAGAACUCAUCAUGUGCGGCUCCAUGCCGUUCGCCUGUCUUGGCCCUCAGGCAAGGGCCUCUGAAUUCACUGAGGACUCAGCUCCACUGGGGUUCCCUCCUCGCUCGGUGGAGGCCGACAUGGCCUUGGCCCAGCUCCUUUGCGCCCAGUUGGCUUGGUGGCCCCACUCUAGAAUGGGAGCCCUGCAGGCAGGGUUGCGUCCAGGGCAGACCUGGCCCGUCUGCUGCGAUCAGUAGCCAACACUGAGGGUGGCCCACUGGUGGCCCAGCUUGCUGCUCUAGCUGGGACUGCUGGCGACACCUACCAGUCAUGGGACCCAGAAAGAGGAGCAGUCUGUGGUCAGAAAGCAAAGCACUGUUGCUGGUCCCUCCUGCUCCCUGCAGUUCUGACAACAAAGUCCCAGAGGUCUGCCUGGAUUCUGGGCAGGAACAUUCUUGUUCCUUCCCUGAGGGGCUGCCCACUGGGAGGAGGAGUGGAGCUGAGAGCCAGGAGGAGGGAAAAAGAGCGCUAACUGGGCCGGUGUGGCUCCUAGGGUGUGGAGGCAGGGGGCGGGCAGGCAAUGGCAGAACCCCCUGCACUGCCAGUCAUGGGUGGUUUUCUGAGCGGGGCUGGGCCACUCUGAGCUACAGACGAAGUGAAAGGAGGGUGGUGUGACCUCCAGAAAAGGACAGGAAACCUGGUUCAAGCUAAGACAUUCAGGAGAAAGCUGGAAAUAAAAUCCCACUCCAAAAACUCAGUUUCAAUCUGAGGAAAACGUCCAGAAGGUGUUUUCCCUCCAGGGAUGGUUGGUUUGGAAUUGUUUCUAGUUAAGAACGAAAGACAGGCAGCACCCGAGACACUCCCCCAUCACAGAGCCUUCCUCUGUGUGAACAGUGCCCCAGCCCUGGCCUCCACACCCAGCCCUGGCAUUCGGGAGGAAUCAGCUUGGCCUCCAGAAGAUUCCACUCCUUUUACUACUCAUUUCUAGUCUUCAGGCUGCCCAAUGACAUGGAAAUUACAUUAAAAAAUACAAAUGACUUCAAAAGGUGCCAGGAAAAGUGUGAGCCGAGUUCUGAGGCAGGAGCCCCUGUACAUCCGUGGGCCUUCUGUGGGCAUGGACACGGCUGGCCAGCAGUUAGUGGGUGGCCCACACAGACCCCUCGAGGUAGGGUCUGGAGCAUGCCCCCUACCCCAGAAGGAGAGUGCCACAGGACCAUGCAGGCAAAGGCCCUGGGCUUGCAGGUAGGACAGCCCACCAGACCUGCCAGGCACACCUGCCCAGCACCCUCUGGGACUGUCAGCUUUUCUGCUCCUUGAAAACAAAACACAAGAUCAACACCACAACACCCUCCCAACAGAUGAGCUGGGUCCAGAGAGUACAGCCUGGAGCCCUGCAGACCUAGGGC